UUGAAGUGAAUUAUAGAAACCCUUUUUAAUUUGUCAUUUGAUUUCUACUUGCGAGGUAAAAAAAAGUAAAAUUUGGGUAAAAAGCAAGUGCAUGUAACCAAGUGCAUGUAACCCACUGUUACAAAACAUGGGCCCUAGUUGAUGUGCUCUUCAGGCCCAGGCCCAUGUGCAUGGGCAUAGAGGCUCCGCUGCCGGUUUGACAAAGCCUACGUACCGCGAAGAUAUUUAUUACAACGGUGACAUCACAUCAAAAUUGUCACAAUCCAAUCAAAAACUGAAAAUCGAUGGUCAGUGUUGAACAUCAUUCAUAAGAAUCGGUAAAAUACACGACACUCGAUGAAAUACAGAUAUUUUUAUUAAGUUAUGACAAGUUAGAUGUGGUAUCACCGUUGCAACAAAUAUUUUCUCCUACGUAUUUUGAUUUUGCCCAAAUCUAUUUCAUUGGUUCGAACUUGACUUGAGCUGAUCCUAUUCAAACUAAUCAAUGUACCAUAAGCGACAGCGAACCAUCCCAACG
rnacentral:lncRNA from 1 species